GAUCAUGGCUCAGGAUGAACGCUGGCGGCGUGCUUAACACAUGCAAGUCGAACGAAGCACUCUAUUUGAUUUUCUUCGGAAAUGAAGAUUUUGUGACUGAGUGGCGGACGGGUGAGUAACGCGUGGGUAACCUGCCUCAUACAGGGGGAUAACAGUUGGAAACGACUGCUAAUACCGCAUAAGCGCACAGGAUCGCAUGACCCGGUGUGGAAAACUCCGGUGGUAUGAGAUGGACCCGCG
rnacentral:rRNA from 1 species